rnacentral:rRNA from 1 species
UCAGGACGAACGCUGGCGGCGUGCUUAACACAUGCAAGUCGAGCGGUAAGGCCCUUUCGGGGUACGACGAGCGGCGAACGGGUGAGUAACACGUGGGUGACCUGCCCUCCAGCUCUGGGAGUAAGCCUGGGAAACCGGGUCUAAUACUGGAUAUGACUCCAUGACGCAUGUUGUGGGGUGGAAAGCCUUGUGCGGCUGAGGAU